rnacentral:rRNA from 1 species
GGUGAACGCUGGCGGCGUGCCUAAUACAUGCAAGUCGAGCGAACGGACGAGAAGCUUGCUUCUCUGAUGUUAGCGGCGGACGGGUGAGUAACACGUGGAUAACCUACCUAUAAGACUGGGAUAACUUCGGGAAACCGUAGCUAAUACCGGAUAAUAUUUUGAACCGCAUGGUUCAAAAGUGAAAGACGGUCUUGCUGUCACUUAUAGAUGGAUCCGCGCUGCAUUAGUUAGUUGGUAAGGUAACGGCUUACCAAGGCAACGAUGCAUAGCCGACCUGAGAGGGUGAUCGGCCACACUGGAACUGAGACACGGUCCAGACUCCUACGGGAGGCAGCAGUAGGGAAUCUUCCGCAAUGGGCGAAAGCCUGACGGAGCAACGCCGCGUGAGUGAUGAAGGUCUUCGGAUCGUAAAACUCUGUUAUUAGGGAAGAACAUAUGUGUAAGUAACUGUGCACAUCUUGACGGUACCUAAUCAGAAAGCCACGGCUAACUACGUG